UGGGGAAUAUUGGACAAUGGGGGCAACCCUGAUCCAGCGAUGCCGCGUGGGUGAAGAAGGCCUUCGGGUUGUAAAGCCCUUUAGGCUGGGAAGAAGUGUAUUGGCUGAAUAAUCCAGUAUAUUGACGGUACCAGCAAAAUAAGCACCGGCAAACUCUGUGCCAGCAGCCGCGGUAAUACAGAGGGUGCGAGCGUUAAUCGGAUUUACUGGGCGUAAAGGGCGCGUAGGCGGUUAUAUUAGUGUGAUGUGAAAGCCCUGGGCUUAACCUAGGAAGAGCAUCGCAAACGGUAUAGCUAGAGUAUAUGAGAGGGUGAUGGAAUUUCCGGUGUAGCGGUGAAAUGCGUAGAGAUCGGAAGGAACGUCAAUGGCGAAGGCAGUCACCUGGCAUAAUACUGACGCUGAGGCGCGAAAGCGUGGGGAGCGAACAGGAUUAGAUACCCGUGUAGUCC
rnacentral:rRNA from 1 species